rnacentral:rRNA from 1 species
AUUGAACGCCGGCGGCAGGCCUAACACAUGCAAGUCGAACGGUAACAGGAAGCAGCUUGCUGCUUCGCUGACGAGUGGCGGACGGGUGAGUAAUGUCUGGGAAACUGCCUGAUGGAGGGGGAUAACUACUGGAAACGGUAGCUAAUACCGCAUAACGUCGCAAGACCAAAGAGGGGGACCUUAGGGCCUCUUGCCAUCGGAUGUGCCCAGAUGGGAUUAGCUAGUAGGUGGGGUAACGGCUCACCUAGGCGACGAUCCCUAGCUGGUCUGAGAGGAUGACCAGCCACACUGGAACUGAGACACGGUCCAGACUCCUACGGGAGGCAGCAGUGGGGAAUAUUGCACAAUGGGCGCAAGCCUGAUGCAGCCAUGCCGCGUGUAUGAAGAAGGCCUUCGGGUUGUAAAGUACUUUCAGCGGGGAGGAAGGGAGUAAAGUUAAUACCUUUGCUCAUUGACGUUACCCGCAGAAGAAGCGCCGGCUAACUCCGUG